rnacentral:misc_RNA from 1 species
GCAAACUUGGUCAUUUAGAGGAAGUAAAAGUCGUAACAAGGUCUCCGUUGGUGAACCAGCGGAGGGAUCAUUAGAGGGUCGCGAGGCCUCCUAGUUUCCAACCAACACGCGUACACGCCCGAGGGGGCCCGCAAGGGCCGCUACAGCCUGCCUCGGUCGGCGGCCCCAGGGGGGGCCUCUGCCCGCGCCCCGGCGCGGGUGCCGGCCGGUGGCCCACACCAAAGCUACCGUGCUGAUACCUAUAACCUCUGAAGGACGAGAAAUCAUUACAACCUGCAACGAUGGAUCUCUUGGUUCUGGCAUCGAUGAAGAACGCAGC